rnacentral:rRNA from 1 species
UACAGAGGGUGCGAGCGUUAAUCGGAAUUACUGGGCGUAAAGCGCACGUAGGCGGCGCGGUAAGUCGGGUGUGAAAUCUCGGAGCUUAACUCCGAAACUGCAUUCGAUACUGCCGUGCUUGAGGACUGGAGAGGAGACUGGAAUUUACGGUGUAGCGGUGAAAUGCGUAGAUAUCGUAAGGAAGACCAGUGGCGAAGGCGGGUCUCUGGACAGUUCCUGACGCUGAGGCACGAAGGUCAGGGGAGCAAACGGG